rnacentral:lncRNA from 1 species
GUCACCGCCACUACACGUUUCAGGUACUCCCUUCUUUCAGUUAUUUCAGUGGCACUUGCUUUUUCUAUCUGCUGUACAACUUUGCCUUGUGACUGGCUGGCCUUGUAGCUGUUCCAACAAACUACGCUGUCUAUAUGGGACUGAGUUGUUUCAUGUUUUUUAAACAUAUGCAGCGCCUUUUUCCAGUUCCUGACUCCACUACUCACAAAUUCAGUCUGUCUGAGAUUUUUACCAAACACGUGACAAGCAAAACAGAAAGCAGCAUUUCUUCUAGCUGAGUACUCUAGCCAUCUGAAACUCUGGAACCACUUUGGUUGAAAGGCCCUUUUCUGUAAACCAAACUGAUAGUGUGGGUACUGAGACAGCUUUGUCUGCUUAGGACCAGUAUCUUUCUUCCCUAAGUCACAUUCCUGACUGCCUGUUGCUUCAGCUUGGUUGCCUGUAAGCUGCUCUCUCUCUAUCCCUUCUUCAUCUCUGUUUCUGGCCUGACCUCUCUCUUCUCCUGGCAGAGACUCUUCUCUUUCUCCUUGUAUUGAAAAUAGAUAGUAUGUAGAAGGAAUAAUGAUGUCCUUUUUACUGUUUUACCAAUAUAACAAUGUUAGCUAUGUACCUUGUUCUGCUUGCUCACUCCCUCAGUCCUCGCUCUCUUCAUCACUCUCCCUCCCUUGUUGAACUGACAAUUACGAUGUUACAAUAUGUUUUUUGUUGUUGUUCCACUUUUUAAUAUGCUGUUUUUUUAUAUCUUUCAUGUGCUAAUAAAAAUACAAAUACUGUUUCGUAUAAUGUUUUUAGCACUAUCAUGAAGUCUUAAAUAUCUGUCCACAUUCUCACCUAGUUCACCUCUCCCUCCAAACUCCACAGGGCUCUCUCCACCCUGCUCUCUCUCCUCUCCAUCUAUAUCACCUCCUCCUGACAAUUGCAUAACAUGCAAUGAUUAUAAUUACAAUAAUAAAGUUUAGCAUUUUUCACGGGUAAAAGAUCACAAGAUGUUUCACACAACACAAAAUAAGACGGAGAAAAGCAAGGUGGGAGCUGGCUGCAGUGGUGACUGCGAGGACCUGAUUGUGAUUAUUGGAGGCACCUGGGCUCAGUGCUCCACAGGAUAUAAAAGGCCCAGCGUCUUGCCAGCCGCUCUCUCUCUCAGACCCUGACCACAUUUGCACCUUCUUGGUUUUGUUACCUUUUGUUUACUUUACUGCACAACACCCAUCACACCUCCAUAUACAUGCACCCACAUGAACACCACUGAUAAUGCUGAUUGAAACACAUCCCAUUCUUUACUGAUUAUUUUGAGUUACAAUAAAACAUGGACUUGCCAGUUUUUGUUGUCCUUUUCCCUUCGUUUGUCAUGGCCUAGAGCCAGGUUUGUGACAAUCAACAUGACAAAAUCCUAAAUCAAAGUGCUGCUCCUGUCAACUCU